CCUACGGGAGGCAGCAGUGAGGAAUAUUGGUCAAUGGGCGCGAGCCUGAAGCAGCCACGUCGCGUGAAGGAUGACUGCCCUACGGUUUGUAAACUCCUUUUAUAAAGGAGUAAAGUGAGGCACGUGUGCCUUUUUGUCUGUACUUUUUCAUUAAGGCUCGGCCAACUCCGUGCCAGCAGCCGGGGUAAUACGGAGGGUCUGAGCGUUAUGCGGAUUUAUUGGGUUUAAAGGGAGCGUAGAUGGGUUGUUAAGUCAGUCGUGAAAGUUUGCGGCUCAACAGUAAAAUUGCAAUUGAUACUGGGAGGCUAGAGUGCAGGUGAGGUAGGCGGAAUUCGUGGUGUAGCGGUGAAAUGCGUAGAUAUCACGAAGAACUCCGAUUGCGAAGGCAGCUUACUAGACUGCCACUGACAUUGAUGCUCGAAAGUGUGGGUAGCAAACAGGAUUAGAUACCCGGGUAGUC
rnacentral:rRNA from 1 species